rnacentral:rRNA from 1 species
GUAGCUUGCUACCUGACCUAGCGGCGGACGGGUGAGUAAUGCUUAGGAAUCUGCCUAUUAGUGGGGGACAACAUUCCGAAAGGAAUGCUAAUACCGCAUACGCCCUACGGGGGAAAGCAGGGGAUCUUCGGACCUUGCGCUAAUAGAUGAGCCUAAGUCAGAUUAGCUAGUUGGUGGGGUAAAGGCCUACCAAGGCGACGAUCUGUAGCGGGUCUGAGAGGAUGAUCCGCCACACUGGGACUGAGACACGGCCCAGACUCCUACGGGAGGCAGCAGUGGGGAAUAUUGGACAAUGGGCGAAAGCCUGAUCCAGCCAUGCCGCGUGUGUGAAGAAGGCCUUUUGGUUGUAAAGCACUUUAAGCGAGGAGGAGGCUACUUAGAUUAAUACUCUAGGAUAGUGGACGUUACUCGCAGAAUAAGCACCGGCUAACUCUGUGCCAGCAGCCGCGGUAAUACAGAGGGUGCGAGCGUUAAUCGGAUUUACUGGGCGUAAAGCGUGCGUAGGCGGCUUUUUAAGUCGGAUGUGAAAUCCCUGAGCUUAACUUAGGAAUUGCAUUCGAUACUGGGAAGCUAGAGUAUGGGA